ensembl:lncRNA
CUCCCACAUCAUCAUUGCUCUACUGUAGCAUCACAGCUUUGUCAUUGAGACAGUUUGCUUCUUUGGAAGUUUACCAUAGAAGAUCGUUCAGUAAGCAUUCCACCCUCUACCAUGCAAAACAUUUAGGCUGUAAAACUCUGAAUGGUAACUCAUGCAACGUAGUUUCAAGAUGACGUUACUAACAGCGUGUUAGCUUACUCAACCUUCUAAUAUCAGUAAAUAUUUUCUCUUAGAAUGUAUAAUUAUCUGAAAUAAGGAAAAAAAAAAACAGCCGCCUGAAAUAAACACGAUUCACUUGCAGGUGUACUGAAUCCGCACGAACCGCUACCAUGAGUGUGUUCACGUCAACACCGUCCACUGAAAUACUUACAGUAACGGGGCAUAAGUGCAGCGUUAAAAUGAAUAUCAAUGUAGCAACACGUGAACAACUCCCAGACCUCCCACUGAUGUAAACCGAGGCAGCGCAUCUUCAUUUAAAUAAGAACACAUCGAUAUCAAAUCACACAUUUUAGAGGCCACUGUCGAGAGCUGAAUCGUUGUCAACAAAUACAUUUAAACAUUGGGACUUUGGAAUGUCGUGUUAUGUAUCCCCCUAACGAACACACUGUCUUCAUCAAUCGACACACCCUAACGUUAGCCAUUGUCAUUAAAGCGCGCAAUCCAUUUUUUCAAACAUUGUAUUUUACAAUUGCAAAUUGUUGAUCCGUAGGGCAGGCUAACAACAGCAGUCAUCUUAACCACACUAAACUGAGCAGCAUUGCAUACGAUACUAUUAAUAUCUAGCGUUAUACUUAUUUGAUAUCCUGUUAAUGUCGUUAGUAUUUUAUUACAGAAUAUAUUUCAUGAUAACUGCAGCCCACGUGCCAAUUGGUCGCAGAUUACGAUCUAGACAAUGCAUAAGUAUUCAUGUGGGUAGGCUAUAGAACGUCUUGGUAAAACCGAUAGAUAUCAGUAUGGUGACUGGCAACCGAAGACAAGAACACACCGAUUUUACUUACCCAACCGAGUAGAGGAAAUGUGGAUGUCUACAGCAGGUGUAUUAACGUUACAUCCUACAUCUCACUUAGCUACAGGGCCACCUCAUCAAAUCUAUUUGACAGCAAUGAAAUGCGAUGCUGCUCAGCGCGUCGCGUUGCUGAAUCUUACGUACAGGGGCAUGUGCAUCACAAUAGCCUUAUAGACUUAAAGGUAAUGCUCCAUAAAUGAGAAACAUCAGUUGAGGUAGUAGGCUACUCACGUGUCUGUGUCCUUUCUUCUUUGUGUGCUCAGACUGUCAGAGAAAGCUGAGACUACAAUGAAACUGUACGUAAUCUCCUGUGUUGUUUAUCGUUUCUCCCAUCACUGCGAACAGCUUAUUUCAUACUGUCGAUGCGAGACAGUAUGCGAGAUGAGGGGUAGUAGUAGCCGGCUCAUAUUGGUGAUGCUACGGAUUAAACUCCGCCGUUUUCCAUAGAACCGCCCUCCCAUGGCGCUAUGGUAUUUGAGCCAAUGAGUGUCAGUCUGUCAUCGAACAAGGUCUGAUGCAUUACUAAAAAACAAGGUCUACAUAAGGCAAUGCAACGUUUUCAGCUAAAAUAUGUAGGCCUAAAUCUAGAUGAAUUUGAGACUAUUCUGUUUGACUGUCUAGACAUAUGUUGCCUUCUAUAUUCACUAUAUGCCCACUCGUGAAAAUGAAUCACAAACCACAGUGGGCACAGGAGCUUAGAUCAUGGAGCCUGUUAGGCUAUGUCUUGCAGCUGUUCAAGCAUGUCUUAAAUAACUAACAUAAAGUCCAGGUGUGCAUUGCAAGCACUAAUCAGCUUGUUUAGGUGAUUACUACGAUUUUUCAGCACUACAGUUGGCU